GUUCAUUAAACUUAACGUCUGCUCAGAAGGCCUGUGGAUCAGCAGACAAUCCAGGAGAAUUGCAUGGCAGGAGUAAAGGUUAUCCAUAUAUGUACAGAGCUUCUACGUUUCAAUCGCUAGGAGUGGGAACGCCCAGAAGGGGAAAAAAUAAACGCAUUCUAGACUCAGGUAUUUUAGAUAUUUCUUGGGCUGCUUAAAAAGUAAUUGAAAUCAAAACAAUUUGAGUAAUUUGUGUCUCUCUGUUGUAGAUGAUGAAAGCCCAACCAGCUCUGGCCGCGUAGCAGCUCCAGGGGUGUUAGAUCUGGAGGACUCUAUGCUUCAAAAACAGCCCAAGCAGUCCACUCCUAUGCCUAAAAAAACAAGGCCGUGUGAAAAACUCAAUCCAUCAACCACAGAAGCUGACGAUGACACCGACAUUGAUUCAUCUCAGGAAGAGUCUCUGAGUUUGUUACCAUCAAAAACAUACCAAAUCACUAUUCCCUGUAGCGUUAUUUUGGACUCUGGAUCCUUUGCAGAAUCAGAGCAAAGUCUAGAACCUUCUUCACCUGCCGGUGCAGCCACAACAGCUGUGUCUACCUCACCUGGGUCUGUAACUGCCUGUGAACAUAAGCAAACACCAUCCACACACAGAACUUCUCCACCGCCCAGAGCUCCAACCACUGACCCUGUCUCACCAGCAGUCCCUCCGACAGGGGUUUCUUCAUCACCAAGUCGUCUCGCUGAAGCAGAUGCUUCUGGUGUGGGUGCCACAGUGAAAUCUGAGUCGAGUGCCACCAUAUUUUGGACCAGAUGUAAUGAGGCCGGGUGGACUAAAGCAAUCUUCUCAGAGCUGGUGUCUCAGCUGAGCAGCCUAGGAGAAAGAGUGCAGUCACAGGAAGCCAGCCACCAAGACUAUGAUGUUGCUCUCAAAGUAUUGGGGGCAACUGGAUGGCUGCCUUACAUUAUUACUCAGCUGGAACAAGACCUGGAGAAAGAGGAACGGGAGUUGCAAAGGAAAAAAGCAGCACUGAGGGAUGCCAAAGCUGUACUAGAUGUUUAAUAUAAACAAUCUAACAGAAUUUUAUUUUUUAAUUUUUUUAACAAUGCAUUUUUACAAUGCUUAUUUUUUAAGUCUCAAGAUUUUUUUCAGUUUGCGUAUGUAUUUUUAUAAUACCAUGAAAUAUGUCUGCAUAUCCCAUUUUGAUAUGAUCAUUCUUAUGUUGUCAUUUUGUAAAUAAAACCGUUGCAACUGUAAUAAACAUUUUUUACAAAAUGUCGUUCUUAGUAUCUUGGAUUGUUUUUCAAAACAUAAAUUUUGACACUUUUAAAGGGGAAUUUGAGUGUUCAGUAUGUGUCUGUUGUACACAGGAUUGCUGUGUAUUUUUUCUGUUGACUUGGGGAAGUGAGACUCACAUCACCUCCGUUUGCUCAUCUGUAAACAACAGUUCAGAGCAGGAGACUGAACAGCCAAUCAGCACACAGCAACAAACAGCCUCUAAUGAGGUUUCAGGUCAACCACAAACGUGCCUGAAGGGUAAGUCAAGGCUUUUACGAGUGUGUCUUCAUGAAAGAGGAGAAAAAAAACAGUAUAUUCCCAAUAUGCACACUAGGUGGC
ensembl:lncRNA